GACGAACGCUGGCGGCAUGCGUAAUACAUGCAAGUCGAACGCACGAAGUUGAAAAGCUUGCUUUUCGACCAAGUGAGUGGCGGACGGGUGAGUAACACGUGGGUAACCUGCCCAUAAGAGGGGGAUAACAUUCGGAAACGGAUGCUAAUACCGCAUAUUUCAAGUGACCGCAUGGUCGCUUGAUGAAAGGUGGCUUCGGCUACCACUUAUGGAUGGACCCGCGGUGCAUUAGUUAGUUGGUGAGGUAAUGGCUCACCAAGACCAUGAUGCAUAGCCGACCUGAGAGGGUGAUCGGCCACACUGGGACUGAGACACGGCCCAGACUCCUACGGGAGGCAGCAGUAGGGAAUCUUCCGCAAUGGACGAAAGUCUGACGGAGCAAUGCCGCGUGAGUGAAGAAGGUUUUCGGAUCGUAAAACUCUGUUGUUAGAGAAGAACAAGGAUGAGAGUAACUGCUCAUCCCCUGACGGUAUCUAACCAGAAAGCCACGGCUAACUACGUGCCAGCAGCCGCGGUAAUACGUAGGUGGCAAGCGUUGUCCGGAUUUAUUGGGCGUAAAGCGAGCGCAGGCGGUUCUUUAAGUCUGAUGUGAAAGCCCCCGGCUCAACCGGGGAGGGUCAUUGGAAACUGGAGAACUUGAGUGCAGAAGAGGAGAGUGGAAUUCCAUGUGUAGCGGUGAAAUGCGUAGAUAUAUGGAGGAACACCAGUGGCGAAGGCGACUCUCUGGUCUGUAACUGACGCUGAGGCUCGAAAGCGUGGGGAGCAAACAGGAU
rnacentral:rRNA from 1 species